rnacentral:rRNA from 1 species
AUGAUAUACGAGUAUCUGCCAAAUAAGAGCUUAGAUGCUACCAUUUUUGGUGAGUCGAGAAAAUUGCUGUUGGAUUGGGCGACACAGUUUCGUAUAAUCAAAGGGAUUGCAAAGGGACUUCGGUAUCUUCACGAAGACUCAAGGCUCACCAUAAUUCAUAGAGGCCUCAAAGCUGCAAAUGUUUUGUUAGAUGCAGAUUUUAAACCCAAGAUAGCAGAUUUUGGUAUGGCGAGGAUCUUUGGUGAUAACUUGGAAAAUGCGAAUACCCAACACGUUGUUGGAACAUAUGGCUACAUGGCUCCUGAGUAUGCAAUGGAAGGUGUCUUCUCUACCAAGUCUGACGUCUACAGUUUCGGCAUGUUACUACUGGAGGUUGUAACUGGUAUAAGGAGAAACUCCAUUAGUGAAACCAUGGGGUUCCCUAGCCUCACAGUAUAUUCAUGGAAUAUGUGGAAGGAAGAUAGGACCAAUGAGCUGCCGGACUCAUCUAUCCUAGAUACUUCACCAGAUGAAAUUCUGCUUUGCAUCCAUGUAGCACUCUUGUGUGUCCAGGAGAACCCCGAUGAUAGGCCGCUCAUGUCAUCUGUUGUGUUUGUCCUAGAGAAUGAGAACACGCCACUUACAUCCCCCAAUCUCCCCGCCUACUUCGCGAGACGGAGUGCUGCAAUGAAUCAAAUUAGAACUGAUAUCCAGGCAUCCGUGAACAGUUUUACUCUUACUGAGAUAGAGGGACGAUGA